CUGAACAAAGCAAUCAUGAAAGUGGAGACGAAUGAGAGAAGCCGCCAUUCUUCGUUCUGCGGCAAUUGAAUUUCUGAUGGAAGUUCGGAUAGUUUUGAGUGCAUUUGGACAAGAAUUGUCAUAAAAUGUAGAGGUGAGUUGAGCUUGGCAGGCAGUGUUAAACAGCAGGACCACAAACGCGAACACUGCAGCUUUUGCUGGAGAUAUUGAAAUGUUAAGAAGUGGAAUUGCCAUUUUCUUUUUUGGAAGGAAAGCAGAAGCAAGGGAAUUAAGUGAGAAAUGAUUUGAAGAUGGAGAAUGAAAGCGCUCACCACCUUAUAUAUAGUGAGCAAAGUCAGCGGAUUGGGUUUGGCUGGGUCACUGUACAACGAGUAAUUGCGCGUAGCCGUUAUUCACCAACUCCAUUUUUGGUUGAAAAUUCAACAUUGAUGCCUCUAAGAUGCUAUAAUGAACAGUUACUUGUGCUGACCGAAUCCGGACAUUGACUUUGGCGGCCGCAUGCAUGCACGUAUAGAUGUUGGUGUGCUUUGUGCUUUGUGCUUUGUGAAUAUAUGGAGUUGAAAAUAUUCGUUCGUGAUUAUAGAAUUCACAAUAUAUAUUAAACUUAUCUCCACUUCAGCUGUACUUUCGAAGAUAAGGAUUAUUUAUUCAUUAGCAACCAUAAUUCAAAGUAUGAUUUGUCUUUAAUUAAUGCAAUUGGGAUUUGAAUUUUUUAAUAAUAACAUGUGAAAUUGAGCUUAUGUGGAUGUAAAAUAAAACAGUUUGGUGUAAAUUGUUGACUCUGUGUGCUUUUUGACUGUUGUAUAAUGUUUUGGAUAAUUCUUACUUAAAACCAUUUCACUAUAUGUGAAUAUUUUCAUAUAAAAAUUAAUCGAUGAGGAGUUAAAUCCCUAACUCCUUCCCCUAUUAGUUGAUAUUAGUUGCUUUCUCUGUUGAAUAAUUGUAAUCCUUUUGAGUAUAUUAAUUUUUUUCUACUUUAAACUUGGAUCUUUGAUCAUCAUUCAAAUAUUUAAUUCAAGGUAUUAUCCAUGGAAAAUUUUCAAAUAUUAGAGAUUAUUUGGAGCUGCUACAAUAUAUAUUAUAUCCUAUUGAUCUUAUUGCUUUCACCUUUGAUUUUCAAUGAGCUUAUUAUGCAAGGCCUUUACAUUUAUAAAAUGCUGCUAAUAGAACUGUAAUAUAGUUGAAUUUAUAGUUGAUUUCAUAUAUAUUUUAACUUCAAAUAACGUAAUGUAUUGACUAAAUUUUCAAUAUUAUAGGCUGCUAUAAGAUUUAAUCGAUAAUAUCCACUUAAAUAUAUAUAUAUAUUUUUUUUUCUUUCAAAGAUAGCUUAGACAUAAAGCUUUAAAAUAAUAAGAAAGUACACAAUUACAUCGUUGCUAUUACUUUUUUUGAGAUUUUUUUCACCCGUUUUGAAUAAUAAUAUUACUCAUUUUCGUUAGAUAAUUUUAACUAUUGUAAAAUUAUUUAUACUAUAAUAAUAUAUAAAUUUAUUAUUAUAACGUUAUUUAAUUUUGUUUUAUUUUUAAAAUAACUUUUCAAUGAAUAUUUAAAAUAUCUUUUUAGUAUUAAUAAAAUUUAAUAUUUUUAAAUUGUAUAAAAUUAAAAAGUUAAUAAAAAAUGUAUCUUCUAAGGUGGACAAAAAUAUGUAAAAAUACUACAAAUACUUUAGUUGAUUAUUAAUACUUUUUUAUAAAUACAAAGUUAUCUAAAUUAGAUUUAAGCAUAUGAAAUUGAAGAUUUCAAUCUGGAAGAAUAUAAAUCAAUUGAUGAAUUGAAAUACAAUGAUAUUAACUAGACAUAUUUUGUCUUUACACUUAAUGAAAUAAUAAAAAAAAUUAACAAAUUUUCAGGUAAAAAGAAUACAUGUGUUUAUACAAUAAAGGCAUUGGACGAACAUAAAAGGAGCACAAAAAUUAGUUCACAGCACUGCAGAUCUUCCUUAUUUCUCCAGCAGUGCCAGUGAGAAUAUCAAUAUUUCCCAUUUUGAUCAUGGCAGCAGCAAAGUCUGAGUUGAAAGCUGCAGGACUCCUGCUAUAUUCUCGGACAAUGCUGUCUGUGGAACCUCCACUGAAAAGAAUUUGAUCAGAUUCAAGAAGACCUUUCUUUUGUAUGAGAUUCUUGAAGUAAUUGUUGUCGAAAGAAUUAGGUGUCACCAAAUCAAAGGGAGCCAAGUUUGCAUCACCGCCAAUAGCUGGACAAGUGCGCUUGCGGGUGCUUGCAAAUCCAGCAUCAAUUGAAACAUUGCUGUAUAUCCUAUCACGGAAUGUAAAGCAUUGAGCGUGGCCUAGGGUAUGAGCUCCUGCAUUUGAAAUUAAAAUAUUUUUAGCAUAUCGAAGACAUGGAAAUGUUUUUUUUCUAAGAAAAAGAUCACUUGUAAGAUAUAUGAUAAUGCAAAAUACAUGAAAAUAGUUUUAGCAUAUAUACCUGAUAAGGCAACCAGAUCCCUUGCACUAAGUCCUUUACGCUGAAAGCUAGAUAUAAGUCUGUCCAGGCCAUCUUUAAAACUGGGAAGUUCAUUAUUGGCAAGAGUUCUGCUAGCAGUAGUUGAGUCUCUUCUUCCAAGCAUCACUGUAUAAGAUGGACCUCCCACCUGAUAUAUUUCAGAAGAAAAUGUCAAAAAAAAUUAAUAAACAAUAACUUGAGAAGAGUAUAGCAUCUGAAGGCAAGAGUUUGAAAUAUAGUUAAUUACAUAUGCAGAUGCAUCUCUUGCUGCCACGGCGACGAUAUCUGCGCAAGAUACAACUCCAGGGCAUAUCUUCUCUACUUCAGAUUUAGCUUUCUCGAUGACUCGAAAACCUCUGGCGGAAUCUUUAUUGGGAAGUGCAGUCUGUUCGCUCUCGAUAGUUGGAGUCUCUUCGAGUAAGAUUGAUGCAUCACAACCCUGCAAGAUCAAGAAUUCAUUAAGCGAUGCUCAUAGAAUAAAAUUAAUUAUAUAGGGCAGGAGAUAUAAAAGAGUGCAAUGUAUAUAUUGUACCUGAACAAAGCAAUCAUGAAAGUGGAGACGAAUGAGAGAAGCUGCCAUUCUUCGUUCUGCGGCAAUUGAAUUUCUGAUGGAAGUUCGGAUAGUUUUGAGUGCAUUUGGACAAGCAUUGUCAUAAAAUGUAGAGGUGAGUUGAGCUUGGCAGGCAGUGUAAAACAGCAGCACCAUAAACGCGAACACUGCAGCUUUUGCUGGAGAUAUUGAAACGUUAAGAAGCGGAAUUGCCAUUUUCCUUUUUGGAAGGAAAUCAGAAGCAAGGGAAUUAAGUGAGAAAUGAUUUGAAGAUGGAGAAUGAAAGCGCUCACCACCUUAUAUAUAGUGAGCAAAGUCAGCGGAUUGGGUUUGGCUGGGUCACUGUACAACGAGUGAUUGCGCGUAGCCGCUAUUCACCAACUCCUUUUUUUGGUUGAAAAUUCAACGUUGAUGCCUCUGAGAUGCUAUAAUGAACAGUUCCUUGUGCUGACCGAAUCCGGACAUUGACUUUGGCGGCCUCAUGCAUGCAAAGUUGGUGUGCUUUGUGCUUUGUGCUAUGUGAAUAUAUGGAGUUGAUAAUAUUCGUUCGUGAUUAGAAUUUACAAUACAAUUUAUUAAACUUAUCUCCACUUCAGCUGUACUUUCGAAGAUAAGGAUUAUUUAUUCAUUAGCAGCCAUAAUUUAAUGUAUAAUUUGUCUUUAAUUAAUGCAAUUGGGAUUUGAAUUUUUUAAUAAUAACAUGUGAAAUUGACCUUAUGUGGAUGUAAAAUAAAACAAGUGAUGGCAGUGGGAUUGCCAAUUCCACGUGGUUGAUUAGUAAAUAGCAAGUAACCUUAGCUUAAUCAGUUUGGUGUAAAUUGUUGACUCAGUUUGCUUUUUUUUUUUUUUUUUUAAACUUUGAGAGUGAGGGAGUAUUUGUGCUAGAUUGCAAGGGAUUCUGCCCGUCAAAUCGAUGAGAAAUUAAAUCCCUAAUUUCUUUGUCCAAACUUAUUUUUUUAGCUUUCACCACAACCCCAAUCUCUUUUACCUCUCCCUCCCAUUGUAGUCCAUUGUCACGCUUCUCUCAUCCUCCAAAAGCCAUCGUCAUUACCGACAGCUGCUUCUUCCUCGUUGCCGCAGGAAUAGUCUUCCUCAUAGUGUGUUCCUUGAAAAGUAGAAUGCUUUGCUCUCAUGGCAAAUACACCAUGACCCUUAAUGAAAAUUUGCAACCAUUGCAUCUGGCAGCGUUUUAAAGUUGCGUUAGGAAUCCAAUCUGCAAAAUACGAUAUUUGUGAAUUGGGGACAUUUUCUAGCUUGGUUUUAAAAAUACCACGAGGACAGUCUUCAUAUCCUCUCCCACAUGGAUUUUAAUUAUAUUUAUUAUCUUCUAAAAUUAAUACACUGAUAUUAUUGGUUCAGUGGUUUAUAAUAUAAACUAUUAUAUCAUAACUGAAUUACGUAGUUGUAAAAUUUAAACUGAUUUAAAUAAUUUUUAAAUUUAUUUUAUAUCUGAUUCAAAAUAUUCAGAAUAUAUAUUUAAUAGUAUGAAAUUUCAUAUUUACUACAGAUUUCACAUUCUCGCUAAAUUUAUGAUAAUCUUAUUGCAAUCGUAUUGUGCUGAACUAAAUACUCUCGAGUACUGUGAUUUGUUAGUAUUUCGGAUCACUCAUAUCAUUUCAUAUGAGUAGUCCAUAUCAUUUCACGAGUAGUCUUCUCCUUACAAAUUCACUAAUUUUGCAUAAUUAUUUUAUAUUAUUUAAAAUAAUUAAUCUAAAUUAUUUAAUAAUUACUAAACUAACUAAUAUAUAUUUUUUAAUUUUUUUUUUAAAUUCAUUCAUCUGGAACAUUUCAUGGGUAAUUUGAAUUAUGCUUCAAUCCUCCUAUAAUUUUUAUUUUAUUUUAUUUUUCUCUGCCAGUCAGCGUAUAAAAAAGGACUUUUACUAUUUAAUUUACAUCGUAGAGAAUUGUAUUGAAGUUAAGCCCCUUAAUGACAGCGAUUUUAAAAUUUAAUUCAUAGUUGUAAGAUUUAGCCGAUAGUAACUUUGAAAAAGAAAGGCUGCUUAGACAUAUUUCUUUUUUUUUUUUUUCUUUUAAGGAUAGCUUAGACAUAAAACUUUAAAAUAAUAAUAAAGUACACAAUCCAUGUAUUCACAUCGUUUAUGUUACUUUUUUGGAGAUUUUUUUCACCCGUUUUGAAUAAUAAUAUUACUCAUUUUCGUUCGAUAAUUUUUAUAUAUAUUUUUUAAUGGUUGUAAAAUUAUUAUUCAUUUAUUUUUUUUAUAUUAUAAUAAUAUAUAAAUUUAUUAUUAUAGCUUUAUUUUAUUUUAUUUUAUUUUAUUUUCAAAAUAACUUUAAAAUGAAUAUUUAAAAUAUUUUUUUAGUAUUAAUAAAAUUUAAUAUUUUUAAAAUGUAUAAAAUUAAAAAGUUAAUAAAAAAUUUAUCUUCUAAGGUGGACAAAAAUAUGUAAAAGUACUACAAAUACUUUAGUUGAUUAUCAAUACUUUUUUAUAAAUACAAAGUUAUCUAAAUUAUAUUUAAGCAUAUUAAAUUGGAGAUUUCAAUCUGGAAGAAUAUAAAUCAAUUGAUGAAUCGAAAUACAGUGAUAUUAACUAGACGCAUUUUGUCUUUACACUAAAUGAAAUAAUAAAAAAAUUAACAAAUUUUCAGGUAAAAAGAAUACAUGCUUUUAUACAAUAAAGGCAUUGGACGAACAUAAAAGGAGCACAAAAAUUAGUUCACAGCACUGCAGAUCUUCCUUAUUUCCCCAGCAGUGCCAGUGAGAAUAUUGAUAUUUCCCAUUUUGAUCGUGGCAGCAGCAAAGUCUGAGUUGAAAGCUGCAGGACUCCUGCUAUAUUCUCGGACAAUGCUAUCUGUGGAGCCUCCGCUAAAAAGAACUUGAUCAGAUUCAAGAAGACCUUUCUUUUGUAUGAGAUUCUUGAAGUAAUUGUUGUCGAAAGAAUUAGGUGUGACCAAAUCAAAGGGAGCCAAGUUUGCAUCACCGUCAACAGCUGGACAAGUGCGCUUGCGGGUGCUUGCAAAUCCAGCAUCAAUAGAAACAUUGCUGUAUAUCCUAUCACGAAAUGUAAAGCAUUGAGCGUGGCCUAGAGUAUGAGCCCCUGCAAUUGGAAAUUAAAAUAUUUUUAGCAUAUAAAGGCCAAGAAAAUGUUUUGUUGCUAAGAAAAAGAUUUGUAAUAUAUAUGAUUAUAUAAAAUAUAUGAAUAUAGUUUUAGCAUAUACACCUGACAAGGCAACCAGAUCCCUUGGACUAAGGCCUUUAUUCUGAAAGCUAGAUAUAAGUCUGUCCAGGCCAUCUUUAAAACUGGGAAGUUCACUAUUGGCAAGAUUUCUACUAGCAGUUGUUGAGUCUCUUCUUCCAAGCAUCACUGUAUAAGAUGGACCCCCCACCUGAUAUAUUUCAGAAGAAAAUGUCAAAAAAAUUAAUAAACAAUAACUUGAGAAGAGUAUAGCAUCUGAAUGCAAGAGUUUGAAAUAUAGUUAAUUACAUAUGCAGAUGCAUCUCUUGCUGCCACAGCGAGGAUAUCUGCACAAGAUACAACUCCAGGGCAUAUUUUCUCUACUUCAGAUUUUGCUUUCUCAAUGACUCGAUAGCCUCUGGCGGAAUCUUUAUUGGGAAGUGCAGUUUGUUCGCUCUCGAUAGUUGGAGUCUCUUCGAGUAAGAUUGACGCAUCACAACCCUGCAAGACCAAGAAUUCAUUAAGCAAUGCUCAUAGAAUGAUAUUAGUUAUAUAUGGAAGGAAAUAUAAAAUAGAGCAAUAUAUGUAUAGUACCUGAACAAAGCAAUCAUGAAAGUGGAGGCGAAUGAGAGAAGCUGCCAUUCUUCGUUCUGCAGCAAUUGAAUUUCUGAUAGAAGUUCGGAUAGUUCUGAGUGCAUUUGGACAAGAACUGUCAUAAAAUGUAGAGGUGAGUUGAGCUUGGCAUGCAGUGUUAAACAACAGCACCACAAAUACGAACAAUGCAGCUUUUGCUGGAGAUGUUGAAAUGUUAAGAAGUGGAAUUGCCAUUUUCUU
rnacentral:lncRNA from 1 species